GGACCCGCACAAGCGGUGGAGCAUGUGGUUUAAUUCGAUGCAACGCGAAGAACCUUACCUGGUCUUGACAUCCUGCGAACUUUCUAGAAAUAGAUUGGUGCCUUCGGGAACGCAGUGACAGGUGCUGCAUGGCUGUCGUCAGCUCGUGUCGUGAGAUGUUGGGUUAAGUCCCGUAACGAGCGCAACCCCUAUCCUUAUUUGCCAGCACAUCAUGGUGGGAACUAUAAGGAGACUGCCGGUGAUAAACCGGAGGAAGGCGGGGACGACGUCAAGUCAUCAUGGCCCUUACGACCAGGGCUACACACGUGCUACAAUGGGAAGGACAAAGAGCCGCGAAGCCGCGAGGUGUAGCUAAUCUCAUAAACCUUUUCGUAGUCCGGAUUGGAGUCUGCAACUCGACUCCAUGAAGUCGGAAUCGCUAGUAAUCGUAGAU
rnacentral:rRNA from 1 species